AAAAAAAACAUCCAUGUAAUUGAACAAAAAACUUUUUUCUGAAUAGCACCGCAACUAAUUAAGAUUGAUGAUUACUUGAAUUGAAUAAUUACAGAUAUGUCACAUUGUGAUUCUUGACUGCUCUAAGUUCAUAGUUUUAGAAGUACAAUAUUCCAAUCUCCCAUUCACUCUGCAUGCUACUCAGGACAAAUUGGCCUAUAACUUAAAAGCACAGGCUCCCAUUAUACCUAUUAUAAGCAAAAUAAAGAUACUUCAUCUAGCAAGUGAUGCACCACGUCGCUCCACACGUGUGCCCAAGAGAAACCUUAAGUAUGCUGAUUAAGUGGCUAUCGUGGUCAAGUGGAGAAAAGCUUGCUGUUAGUUAUUUGCUUAUUUGUCUGUUUGUAGUUGUGGUUCUAUUUUUUAGGAUCAUGUAUGUAGAAAUAGUAGUUAUUUGUUUUCAACCCACUCCUCAAGAUCAUGUGCGAGGAAGUAGGGAUGAUUGUUGCAUUUCUUUUGUAUUUAAUUCUGGUUCAUCAUGAAUGAGGGGGGAGGCUAUUUCCAUAACAGAACUGUGGUCCUAUUCUCACCGGAAGCAGAAUACCAAUUCGAAGCUCUGACUAGGACCUAUCAGCAAGAUAAAUUAAAACAGAGAACGCCGGGAUAAAGCUGCACUGCUGUGAAAUACAAAAUUAAGUCUUCAUAAUCUGCAAACCACUCUAUACUCUCGUUUCCCAGGUAGUGACCUAAACAGAAGCUUCUUGUAUAAUUGGAUAAUCUCUCAAUUAUGCAGUGAGGCUAUGAGACAAUCAAUGAUUAUAUUAACCCAUUGAAAGUAUGUCAUUUGGAUAAUUUCUCAAUUCUGCGGGCUAUGAGGCAGUUGACAAAUAUAUCAACCAAUUAUAAGUGCGACUCUGAACAAUGAACAAAUCCAUUAAAA
rnacentral:misc_RNA from 1 species